AUCAUGCAUGUGCUUGGUGGGGUUGAUGUGAAUUAUGUGACUGGAGUCGUGAAAGCAACUUCCUGAGAAAAAGGGGGAAAUAUGUUUAUUGUUCUAACCAAAAGGGUGAGAGAAGACUGGGACAAAAGAAAAAGCAGUUGGUUCCAGAUCGUCGAAGCUUUUGGAGGUGAUUCAGACGUGCUCGCUUACUACAAUAAGUCGGGCUCUGAUCGUCGAAAGAAAGUUGAUAUAAUAUCCCCGAGAAACAAGAUACCUUUCGUCUCGAUCGUCGGGCAGACACAGCAGAAAUUAUGACGAUUG
rnacentral:lncRNA from 1 species